rnacentral:rRNA from 1 species
AGCGAACGCUGGCGGCAGGCUUAACACAUGCAAGUCGAACGCCCCGCAAGGGGAGUGGCAGACGGGUGAGUAACACGUGGGAACGUACCCUUUGGUUCGGAAUAACUUGGGGAAACUCAAGCUAAUACCGGAUAAGCCCUUAUGGGGAAAGGUUUACUGCCGAAGGAUCGGCCCGCGUCUGAUUAGCUAGUUGGUGAGGUAAUGGCUCACCAAGGCGACGAUCAGUAGCUGGUCUGAGAGGAUGAUCAGCCACACUGGGACUGAGACACGGCCCAGACUCCUACGGGAGGCAGCAGUGGGGAAUAUUGGACAAAGGGGGCAACCCUGAUCCAGCCAUGCCGCGUGAGUGAUGAAGGCCUUAGGGUUGUAAAGCUCUUCUACCCGGGACGAUAAUGACUGUACCGGGAGAAUAAGCCCCGGCUAACUUCGUGCCAGCCGCCGCAGUAA